GGUGGCUGCGACUGUUUAUUAAAAACACAGCACUCUGCAAACACGAAAGUGGACGUAUAGGGUGUGACGCCUGCCCGGUGCUGGAAGAUUAAAUGAUGGGGUGCAAGCUCUUGAUUGAAGUCCCAGUAAACGGCGGCCGUAACUAUAACGGUCCUAAGGUAGCGAAAUUCCUUGUCGGGUAAGUUCCGACCUGCACGAAUGGCGUAACGAUGGCCACACUGUCUCCUCCUGAGACUCAGCGAAGUUGAAAUGUUUGUGAUGAUGCAAUCUCCCCGCGGAAAGACGGAAAGACCCCAUGAACCUUUACUGUAGCUUUGUAUUGGACUUUGAACAGAUCUGUGUAGGAUAGGUGGGAGGCUUUGAAGCAGGGUCGCUAGAUCUUGUGGAGCCAACGUUGAAAUACCACCCUGGUGUGUUUGAGGUUCUAACCUAGGUCCAUUAUCUGGAUCGGGGACAGUGCAUGGUAGGCAGUUUGACUGGGGCGGUCUCCUCCCAAAGCGUAACGGAGGAGUUCGAAGGUACGCUAGUUACGGUCGGACAUCGUGACGAUAGUGCAAUGGCAUAAGCGUGCUUAACUGCGAGACUGACAAGUCGAGCAGAUGCGAAAGCAGGACAUAGUGAUCCGGUGGUUCUGUAUGGAAGGGCCAUCGCUCAACGGAUAAAAGGUACUCUGGGGAUAACAGGCUGAUACCGCCCAAGAGUUCAUAUCGACGGCGGUGUUUGGCACCUCGAUGUCGGCUCAUCUCAUCCUGGGGCUGUAGCCGGUCCCAAGGGUAUGGCUGUUCGCCAUUUAAAGAGGUACGUGAGCUGGGUUUAAAACGUCGUGAGACAGUUUGGUCCCUAUCUUCCGUGGGCGCUGCAGAUUUGAGGAAGCCUGCUCCUAGUACGAGAGGACCGGAGUGGACACACCUCUGGUGUAUCGGUUGUCACGCCAGUGGCAUUGCCGAGUAGCUAAGUGUGGAAGAGAUAACCGCUGAAAGCAUCUAAGCGGGAAACUCGUUUCAAGAUGAGAUCUGCCGGGGCCUUGAGCCCCCUGAAGAGUCGUUCAAGACCAGGACGUUGAUAGGUCAGGUGUGGAAGCGCAGUAAUGCGUUAAGCUAACUGAUACUAAUUGCUCGUGCGGCUUGACCCU
rnacentral:rRNA from 1 species